GACGAACGCUGGCGGCGUGCUUAACACAUGCAAGUCGAACGGAAAGGCCCUGCUUUUGUGGGGUGCUCGAGUGGCGAACGGGUGAGUAACACGUGAGUAACCUGCCCUUGACUUUGGGAUAACUUCAGGAAACUGGGGCUAAUACCGGAUAGGAGCUCCUGCUGCAUGGUGGGGGUUGGAAAGUUUCGGCGGUUGGGGAUGGACUCGCGGCUUAUCAGCUUGUUGGUGGGGUAGUGGCUUACCAAGGCUUUGACGGGUAGCCGGCCUGAGAGGGUGACCGGCCACAUUGGGACUGAGAUACGGCCCAGACUCCUACGGGGGGCAGCAGUGGGGAAUAUUGCACGAUGGACGGAAGCCUGAUGCAGCAACGCCGCGUGCGGGAUGACGGCCUUCGGGUUGUAAACCGCUUUCGCCUGUGACGAAGCGUGAGUGACGGUAAUGGGUAAAGAAGCACCGGCUAACUACGUG
rnacentral:rRNA from 1 species